rnacentral:rRNA from 1 species
AUGGCUGGCCGCCGGCGAGGACAGCGCAGCAAAAACAAGCUCAAGACAGCGUCGAGGAGCGACAUCCCGUCAGGGCCGACAACCGUCCACCAAAUCCCCGAUCACCUCCUCGAGCUCGUGCUCCUCCGCGUCGGCUCUUCCGUCGCCCUCGUCCGAGCCGCCUUCACCUGUAAGCGCUGGCUCCGCCUUGUCGCGGACACCUCAUUCCUGGCCCGGUUCCGCUCCCUCCACGCAGCCCACGUCGCCGGUCACUACCACGUCGUCGACCGGCCCUACCGCGAGAAGCUGCCGCCCGACGGGAACAACCAGGUGUUCGUGCCAGACCCCACGGCUGCCGACGCCAUCGACAGACGCCACUUCUCCCUCGAUUUCCUCCCGGAAUGCGAUGGCUCCUCGUCCUGGGAGCUCGCCGACAGCCGCGGCAGCCUCCUCCUCUUUUACAGGGCGAGAACAGACUGGACGGGGCAGCUUCGCUUCCCGGACCUCGUCGUCUGCGAGCCGCUCUCGCGACGGUACCAGGGGAUCGCCUACCCGCCGGCGAUGCGUGGCCACCUGUGCUUCGGCGCGUUCCUGCUCGACGGCAGCGCCGUCGACGAGACGGGUGGCUGCAACGGCAUGUCAAACUUCCGGGUGAUCGUCGCGGUCUACGAAUACGUCGCGCAUGCCCGUGCCGCACCCCGGGCCUGCGUGUUCUCCUCGGGCGCCGACGGCGGUUGGAGCUUGGGGCAGCGCGCGGCCGGCAGCGGCGGCGUCCCCCUCUCGUGGUUUGGCUUAAUCAAUUUCGUAGGGCGCACGCGCUGGUCGCUCUACUGGACGAUGGAGCGCGACGGCGUCGUGCUCUCUCUCGAUGAGUCCACCCUGGAGUUCUCGCUCGUCAUGUUCCCGGAUGCCGUCGUGGGGUGGCGGGACGAGUUGUCAACCUUCUGGGUCAUCGGCGGCGAAGACGGCGCGGUGCGCGUCGUCCGCAUGAUCAACAGAGACCUCACGGUCUUUGCGCAGCUCCAGGGCAGCGGCGAGUGGGUGACGGAGAAGGUCGUGAGGCUGCGGCCAGCCGACAUUGUCGCGGCCAAUGAGAGGUACAUCCUCUUGACGCCCAGGGGGGAGACCUGCCUUUUCUCCGUCGAGCUCGACACGCUGCAGACGGAGAGCACGCACGAGAGGAAUAGGUACGCGGGAGCGGCGUACCCGUACGAGCUGCCCUGGCCACCGGUCCUGCAGGCUUGCUGUGCUGCCGAUGACCGGCGCCGAAGGAGAUGCCGCUGA